rnacentral:lncRNA from 1 species
CUUGCUUCUGCUUCUCCUCAAUUUUGAAAACGAUGAAGCGGUAGGUCCUUUUUGCCUUAAGCUCCAAAAACUUCAACUUGCACUCAUCGUGCACAGCCAUUCCUGAUGCUGCAUUGGCCUGAGAAUAAGACAACAUCACAUGACAAAACAUCAAAUAUCUGAGGCAAUUUCAAUGUUUCAUUAUAUCAACUGGAUACACCUGAAACAUCAACAUUUAUCCUAAAAAGGAAUAAAAGGAAGAAAAAUCAAAAUGAAACCAUCAUCAACUAGUCUCUCACUCUCAAUCAGCAUAAUUUGGCCCUAACAAAGUGGAGGAUAACACCACAGAACAACAACACGCACUUCAAUACCCUUUACACUAGAUUCUAACAUGAUCUAUUUCAGCUGCCUCCUAUGUUGGCAAAACAUGGUGUAGCAACAACAUCGCUUUAGGAUACAGAAGCAUAUUGGGCUCAUUCUUACAUUGUCUUGAGAACAACCUAAUUAAAAUAAAUAAAACAGCUGUUUAGGCUCAGCCAUGGAGUGUCAAAGUUUAUUGCUCCCGACCAUAGUUUAUGUUUUGGACAAACAACAUUUGAAUCGUGGAUUACAAAGACUAAGAUUUCCUUGACUUUUUUGUUCGUUUUUCCUGUAAUUGGGAAAAAAAUAAUAAGGGAAUGGAGACAGAAAUAACAACAAACAAAAAUUACAAGGAUCCAAAUUAAAUGCGCAGACAGAUUGAAUCAAUAUAUUAAUUAUUAAACAAUUUAAAAAUCAGUAGCCAAGAAACAAAAAUAAUUGAAAAUCAUAUGACCUUAAAACAGAUAUCAAAACAUAUUAGAUUAACUGAAAAUCCAGCAGAAUCCAGUGGCUAAAUACGCUGGAAUCUAGAUCAGUGACAGUUCUAUUUCAGCACAAAUUAAGUAAAGCUAAUUCCAUAUAAAUAAAAUCAAAUCACUAAAAUCCACAGCAUCAAACCACAAAUUGCAGAUUAUAAAUCCUACGAUCUAGAACCUCAAAAAAAGAACUAAAUAAAUAACAGAUAAAAUCAGUCGAGUUGAUGCAGGAAAAUUCCACAAAUAUUGCUAGCAUCAAAGCUUCAACAAAGAGAUAAUCAACCAAUCAAACAACAUAUUUAGUAAAGAAAAAUCAACAAAAAGUUACGAUCCACUAGGAUUCUAAGAAAUUAGACAAUAAAAUCAAGAGAUUAUUUCAUGGAGAAAUUAUUUAAAACCAAAACGACGCAGCAGAAACAUUACCAUCUCUUUUCGGUUUGUUUGGAAACGACGAUAGGGGAUCGCGAUCGACGGAGGAAGAAGAGGAGGAGAAAAUGUAGAUAGAAAGAGAGCUCCUCCGAUGACGAG